rnacentral:rRNA from 1 species
GACGAACGCUGGCGGCGUGCCUAACACAUGCAAGUCGAGCGGUAAGGCCCUUUCGGGGGUACGACGAGCGGCGAACGGGUGAGUAACACGUGGGUGACCUGCCCUCAGCUCUGGGAUAAGCCUGGGAAACCGGGUCUAAUACUGGAUAUGACUCCAUGACGCAUGUUGGUGGGGUGGAAAGCCUUGUGCGGCUGAGGAUGGGCCCGCGGCCUAUCAGCUUGUUGGUGGGGUGA